rnacentral:rRNA from 1 species
CCUACGGGGUGCUGCAGUGGGGAAUAUUGGACAAUGGGCGAAAGCCUGAUCCAGCCAUGCCGCGUGUGUGAAGAAGGCCUUCGGGUUGUAAAGCACUUUCAGUGGGGAAGAAAGCCUUGGGGCUAAUACCCUCGAGGAAGGACAUCACCCACAGAAGAAGCACCGGCUAACUCCGUGCCAGCAGCCGCGGUGAUACGGAGGGUGCGAGCGUUAAUCGGAAUUACUGGGCGUAAAGCGCGCGUAGGCGGUCUGAUAAGCCGGUUGUGAAAGCCCCGGGCUCAACCUGGGAACGGCAUCCGGAACUGUCAGGCUAGAGUGCAGGAGAGGAAGGUAGAAUUCCCGGUGUAGCGGUGAAAUGCGUAGAGAUCGGGAGGAAUACCAGUGGCGGAGGCGGCCUUCUGGACUGACACUGACGCUGAGGUGCGAAAGCGUGGGUAGCAAACAGGAUUAGAUACCCCGGUAGUC